rnacentral:rRNA from 1 species
GACGAACGCUGGCGGCGUGCUUAACACAUGCAAGUCGAACGGAAAGGCCCUGCUUUUGUGGGGUGCUCGAGUGGCGAACGGGUGAGUAACACGUGAGUAACCUGCCCUUGACUUUUGGAUAACUUCAGGAAACUGGGGCUAAUACCGGAUAGGAGCUCCUGCUGCAUGGUGGGGGUUGGAAAGUUUCGGCGGUUGGAGAUGGACUCGCGGCUUAUCAGCUUGUUGGUGGGGUAGUGGCUUACCAAGGCUUUGACGGGUAGCCGGCCUGAGAGGGUGACCGGCCACAUUGGGACUGAGAUACGGCCCAGACUCCUACGGGAGGCAGCAGUGGGGAAUAUUGCACAAUGGGCGGAAGCCUGAUGCAGCAACGCCGCGUGCGGGAUGACGGCCUGCGGGUUGUAAACCGCUUUCGCCUGUGACGAAGCGUGAGUGACGGUAAUGGGUAAAGAAGCACCGGCUAACUACGUG